CGCCGAUAUAUUGCAGUAGUAGUUAAAAAAGAUGAAAAGAAGAGCGGUCAGCUUAUUAUCGCCCUCUGCGCCAGGUGGGCAUCUACGUUCCCCCCGGAGAGAGAGAGAGAGAGAGAGAGAGUCUAGUGGUGGCAGGGCCAAGUGAAUUUAGCAAAGCACCAGCAUGUUCAGCAAUACAGCUCAAAGAGAGUGUGAAAUUCCUUGAUUUCGCCGCUAUUUUGCGAGAUUCCGGGUUUGUAUUGGCAAAGCCGGUUUUGCUGAAUCUUUGGAUGGGAGAGGUCCUCGCUCCACAGCCCUGUCCUGAUGUCAUUGUUUUCUGAUACUUCCAGAAGCAAGUUCCUUUUGGGCCUCGCAUGUUCUUGCACUCUAUAUUUGGGUCUCGUAGAACCUGCAAAACACUAUUCAACAACGGGCCUGCAAUUGAGUUAUGGGCUCUCAUGUGGAAUUAACAUCCCACCUUCAUUGCUUCGUACCUUGUUGGGCUCUUAACCCCACUCUAAAUCCAGCAAACACGUCGUACAAGUGGGCUUAACAAUUAUGGGCAUCAAAUUUUUUUGUUUAUUCGUUUUACACUUUUAGAAUGUUUGGGCCUGCCAAGUGGGAAAUCUCGAUCUGUAUGUGCCAAUGAUUAAGGUAUAUUCACUGUCCAUGCUACUAACACGUUGUACAGGGCCCUUUCUAACUUAUUACUGUAAGGUCUUUUAUGCUCCAAGGAAAUUUUCAAACAUUAUUUUGUAUGUUUCACACGAUAUAAAAAUUAAUAUAAUCAUAUAAUUUCAAUUAUACAAUUUAAAAGUUCAAAAUUUAGCAGUAAUUUUAGUCACAAGGUCAGCUUUUAUAAGGAUGGGAGCCAAAAAAAUAGUAAAAGCAAAGUUAUUAAGCAUAUAUGUGAGAACUUUGAAAAUUUCCAAAUACUGAUGUAUUUAAUUAUUUCUACAUAUGGAUUGCCACCGAAUGUUUUAUGUGCAGAAUGGCUUAAACACGAGGAUGGCUUAUGACUACAAAAGCUGCAUGGGGUUGAAAAUUAAGCCACGUCAAGGAGAUGGGCUACUGUUUUAUUCACUGUUUCCAAAUGGAACUAUUGACAAGGUAGAGUUUCAUCUUUCCUUAAAAACCUUCUUUUGUGCCAGGAUUUGGUCCAGUGAUACCAUUGAACUUCUUUUUCUGGGGCACAUAGAGAUUGAAAAUAUAAAAAGCAUGUACAUUAGAUAAAGAUUGAAUGCUGUGGUUUGAUUUUCAUCUCCAGCAUUUCUUCAAAUUCACCUGCACUAAAUAAGACACUGCCAUUUUUAAGCCUUGAUUCCAGUACCUUAAUUCAUAGAUUGCCUGUAUGACGGAUAGAAACUUAAACCUAAAUCUAUGAUACCAAGAAGAACUUGAAUCCUUCACCAUAGUCCAUAGAUCCAUCCAUUUGGUUGUCAUACUACUGUAGACUUCAGUCUUUCGACUGAUCAUUUAAAUAAUAAUAAUAAUAAUAAUAGGUCUUAGCACUCCCCGUUCUGAACUUUUGUUGUGCUAUCUUGCAGACAUCUCUCCAUGGAAGCUGCCCUGUGAUCAAAGGGGGAAAAUGGGUGGCUACAAAAUGGAUCAGGGAUCAAGUACUUGACGACUGAUUCAUGCAAUUCACAAAAGGACACCGUGAUUAACUUCUGUUCCCAUAAUUCCCCAGAAAUUUUAGGAAACGUCUUUUAGAGACCACCCCUUUCGCUUUUUUUUUUUUUUUUUUUUUUGGGGUGGGAAAAACAGGUCAUUGAACUUGGAUGAGGAUACCAUAUUUGCUUUGUGAAAAGCUCUAAAAAUUAUUAUUGUUUUUGUCCAUCUAACCUUCUUAAACCCCCCCAAAAACGAAUCUGGUUUAACGCUGGCCAACAAAAAUUAAUGUAUAAGCUUCUUUACCAUAUAAUGUCAGUCAGGGCCUGAAAAUUUGAUCUGAACAUCCUUUUCUUACCCUAUAUAUUGCAGUCCCUUCUCAUUUCAUCAUCAAACCAAUUACAACAGCGUCCAAGUCCUUGAGAAGUUCUCAAAUUUGAACUAUACCUCCGUCCCAAAAGGGAAAAGAAAAAGACUUGCCAACCCAACAAAUGACAGAAAGAUUCUAGAAUUGAAAACCAAAGAACUUGAAUAACAACGAAUUUUAGCAUAUCUGAUACGUCCAUGCACAGCAUUGCUAUAAAAAAUUAUUCUAAAACUCUAAACCCGGGCAACAACGUAAAGUAUUCAACUAGUAAUUUCUUCUAGCUCCAAAAUUAAAAAAAAAAAAAAAAAACAAACAAACAAACAAACAAAGUCGGCGACGAAGAAAAAAAAAACAGAUAUCUUAAACUCUUUUCUUCGUUUUUUUUUCAGGUUCUAAAACAGCAAAUUUAUCAGGAUAUGAGCUGAAAUUUCCAAUCUACACAUUCUGAGAACUGUACUUACAAUACAUUCUGCGAGGGGAGGGAGAAUGAGGUAUACCUGAAGCAAAAGACGGCGAAAGAGAAAAGGAAGAGGAAGAAGCUAGAGAAUCAGUGGAGUCAGAUCAAGUGUAGGAGAAGUCUAGGGUUUUCUGGAGGAAGCGUCGGAGAGAGAAGAUGAUUUAGUAGUUAACGUGAUGGACAGCAGCAAGAGAAAGAAAAGCUGUUGGGGAUUGGCGGUUUCGGAGGCAUUCUCUCGUCACCGCCGAUAUAUUGCAGUAGUAGUUAAAAAAGAUGAAAAGAAGAGCGGUCAGCUUAUUAUCGCCCUCUGCGCCAGGUGGGCAUCUACGUUCCCCCCGGAGAGAGAGAGAGGGUCUAGUGGUGGCAGGGCCAAGUGAAUUUAGCAAAGCACCAGCACGAUCAGCAAUACAGCUCAAAGGGAGUGUGAAAUUCCUUGAUUUCGCCGCUAUUUUGCGAGAUUCCGGGUUUGUAUUGGCAAAGCCGGUUUUGCUGAAUCUUUGGAUGGGAGAGGUCCUCGCUCCUCAGCCCUGUCCUGAUGUCAUUAUUAUUGUUUUCUGAUACUUCC
rnacentral:lncRNA from 1 species